CAGCCGCCGCGGUAAUACGUAGGUGGCAAGCGUUGUCCGGAAUUAUUGGGCGUAAAGGGCUCGCAGGCGGUUUCUUAAGUCUGAUGUGAAAGCCCCCGGCUCAACCGGGGAGGGUCGUUGGAAACUGGGAAACUUGAGUGCAGAAGAGGAGAGUGGAAUUCCACGUGUAGCGGUGAAAUGCGUAGAGAUGUGGAGGAACACCAGUGGCGAAGGCGACUCUCUGGUCUGUAACUGACGCUGAGGAGCGAAAGCGUGGGGAGCGAACAGGAUUAGAUACCCCAGUAGUCCCUGUCUCUUAUAC
rnacentral:rRNA from 1 species